UACCAUCAAUAAAUUCAGUAGUGCAUAUUUACCAUCAAGGCAAAUGUAUUUAUUUUAGCAUUUCAUUUAGUUUGAUUAUUAUUAUUUUUUAUUCUCCAGGAAAAGGCGAAGAUAAAGAAUUCCCAACUAUUGGAGCGCGACUGAUCAGACUAGAAGAUAAGGUCCACCUGAUGGACCGGAAAAUGGACUCAGUCCUGCGGAUCUUGAUGCAGCAGUUUCCGCCCAAGACGGAGCUGACGUACAAGCCCUCCAUCCGCAGGGUGACCAUCCAGAACCGCAUGGGUGCCAGCAUCGAUGAGGGGCUCUGAUGUAACAGCGAUGGUCACGCUGGGUACGAUGGUGUCAUCACCAAAGAAGGACUAGAAGUUCACAACAGCCUAGCCCACUAUAUGGGGAGCAAGCCUGCAAAUAAUAAGGGGGCUCAGUCUUCCAAAAUAAACUCUCCCUCUCUUCCAUUUGCAAUCCCACCUUUUCUUAUUGACUUUUGACCACUGAGAAGAGAACAACCUUUAAUUGUCCACUUGGCGCCGGGUUCCUCUGGGAGUGGGAUUCAUGGUGUAGAAAGAAGGCGAACUGACCUCUUCCUUCUGCCACUGUUGGCCCUGUUUGAUCCGUCUAAAUCAGGGGUGUCAAACUCAUUUUAGUUCAGGGGACACAUGCAGCACAAUUUGAUCCCAAGUGGGCCGGACCAGUAACAUCACAGCAUAAUAACCUGUAAAUAACCACAACUCCAAAUGUUUCCCUUCGUAAGUACAUUCUGAAAAUGUUCAAACUUAAUCUUUUUACAAAAUAUUAUGAACAACCUGAAAUCUCUUAAGAAAAAUAAAGGUGCAAUUUCAACAAUAGUGUUUAUCAUUUACACGUGUGUGUUACAACUUACUGAUCACAGUGUAUCUACAAAGAUGUUUACUUUCUGAUCAAAACAACUCAUUAAUACACUUUGCAAAGUCAUCCCGCGGGCCGGAUUGGACCCACUGGUGGGCCGGUUUUGGCCCACGGGCCGCAUGUUUGACAUCCCUGGUCUAAAUGUAGCUUUCUCUUAUACACCAGCAUUGUGGGCCCUCAGUCUUCCCCCGCAGGACACAGUGAUUCAAUCAUGGACACGCUAUAUGAAUUUCCCUCUGUUAACCUCAUAAUCACUCUGCUCAGAUAAUGCUAAUUUAUGUGUGGCCUGACAUUGAGCUGCAUUCCUCCACUCCAAAUAUUAUUCCAAAGCUAACUAACCCAGUAAUGAAGUCAUAAUGCAAUCAAAGCACUUAAGUUCCCCAAAGACACUGGCAGAGGCGUUCCUCAAAUCCUUCUGAUUAUCUUGGCACUCUCCACCCCACCGGUACACAACACUGUUAUUUCCAUAGCCACAUAUCCAUCUAGUGUAACUGUACUUAGGCUGCGACGGGUGUUUGUUAGUAGUGAUCGAAUAACACGAGGAGGGAAGUGCACAUUAUCUGUUGACUUUGCCCGACGUUAGGAACCGGAAGGCUGGAGUAAAAGAAAUGGAACUAGAGAAAUGUGUGUGAGGUGGGAGGCUAACAUGGUGCUGAUUUACAGCUACAUUGAAGCGAAUGAAAAUAGCCAAACUGUCCGUGACAAGGCGCGGUGCAGGAAUACAGUCCGAAAUUAGGGGCGGGGGUCCCUCAGAUUAUUACGCGUACAUCGAUCUCAAACGCUUUUAACGGCACCACUGCUCACUCCACCCUGCUUAAUAUCCUCCAUUACUCUCUUCAGGGGGCUCCCACUGCUGUGCGCAAUUUGAAAUAAAUUUGCCCCAUUAAAGCUCUGAUUAUUUUUUCUCUGCUGAGCUAAUUAAGUGCUGAAUUCCUGGUAAAGGGAGAUUACUCACUGUGAGCGACUAAUGAAAAGAAACACUGGAAAAUGUGCAGAAUUUAAACAGUAAGCUCUGAGGAGCAGGCGCACUAAUUCUGUGUGAAAGGUUUUGGAAAUAUCUCCGCUACCACCGUUUGAAAUCCAAAUAAAAAAAAAGACAACGCUGUCACUUUGUUUCCCCGUACUUAUCUGACGGGAUGCCGAGGCAUGUAGGAAGUAGAAAAUAGAAAAAUAAGUGUGUAACUACUGUGUGAAAGGCCUCCCGUAAUUAUAGCAU
ensembl:lncRNA